rnacentral:rRNA from 1 species
ACGCUCGACACCUACGGAAGGCAGCAGUGGGGAAUAUUGCACAAUGGGGGGAACCCUGAUGCAGCGACGCCGCGUGAGUGAAGAAGUACUUCGGUAUGUAAAGCUCUAUCAGCAGGGAAGAAAAUGACGGUACCUGACUAAGAAGCCCCGGCUAACUACGCGCCAGCAGCCACGGUAAUCUGAGCGGGCUGGCAAGGC